rnacentral:lncRNA from 1 species
GGCCAGGCAGGGUUCCAAGGGCCAGAGAGGUACUAACCCAUGGCUCCAGGCUGAUAUUGGCAGCGGCAGUGGGCUGGGAGUACACAGAACCCGUCCUGGGCGAGCUGGCCUAGGGGACAUCUGCAGCUGGGCUGGCAGCCCAUUGGACCUGGCUGACACACACUCCCAGGGGACAAAUCCUGGCAGGAGCGGGGGCAAGGCUGUCCACAGGGCAGUAGAUCCUGACCACCUCCACAGUCUAAGGCAGGAAGGAAGCAGAAAAGGUGUCCCUGGGGCUGAGGCAGAACCGGAAACGUCGUUGCCAUCCAGGGCUCCCUCCAGGGACAAGGCAGCUCUGUGAGCAGGGGGACCAGGGUGUCCAGAGUGUCCAGCCCAAUUCCUCUGCAGGAGACACAGUAGGUCUAUUGCUUGGGGCCAGAGAGGCCAGCAGGCCAGGGAG